UGACCGUGACUAUGAGAUGACAGAUCAGAACCAUAUUAAACCUGAACGGAGCAACAGCAUCAGCUUCACAGCUUGAUGGCAGAGGUGACAUCAGCAACAAAUACAAGAGCGGGACCCCAACUUGUCACAUUUCUCUCAAACCCUCCCCCUCUAAACAUUGAAAGUGUGGUAACCCGACACCUCAUUUCUCUCAAAUCCUUCCCUCUAAUUGUUGAAAGCAAUUACUGGCCACAAA
ensembl:antisense Npn2 neoplastic progression 2